GAGUUUGAUCCUGGCUCAGGACGAACGCUGGCGGCGUGCUUAACACAUGCAAGUCGAGCGGUAAGGCUCCUUCGGGAGUACACGAGCGGCGAACGGGUGAGUAACACGUGAGCAAUCUGCCCAUCUCUUUGGAAUAAGCGUGGGAAACCGCGUCUAAUGCCGAAUACGACCUCCUUUCGCAUGAUCGGAGGUGGAAAGCUCCGGCGGAGAUGGAUGAGCUCGCGGCCUAUCAGCUUGUUGGUGAGGUAAUGGCUCACCAAGGCGACGACGGGUAGCCGGCCUGAGAGGGUGACCGGCCACACUGGGACUGAGACACGGCCCAGACUCCUACGGGAGGCAGCAGUGGGGAAUAUUGGACAAUGGGCGAAAGCCUGAUCCAGCAACGCCGCGUGAGGGAUGACGGCCUUCGGGUUGUAAACCUCUUUCAGCAGGGACGAAGCGAAAGUGACGGUACCUGCAGAAGAAGGACCGGCCAACUACGUGCCAGCAGCCGCGGUAAUACGUAGGGUCCGAGCGUUGUCCGGAAUUAUUGGGCGUAAAGGGCUCGUAGGCGGUCUGUCGCGUCGGGAGUGAAAACUCAGGGCUCAACCCUGAGCGUGCUUCCGAUACGGGCAGACUAGAGGUAUGCAGGGGAGAACGGAAUUCCUGGUGUAGCGGUGGAAUGCGCAGAUAUCAGGAGGAACACCGGUGGCGAAGGCGGUUCUCUGGGCAUGACCUGACGCUGAGGAGCGAAAGCAUGGGGAGCGAACAGGAUUAGAUACCCUGGUAGUCCAUGCCGUAAACGUUGGGCGCUAGGUGUGGGGACCUUCCACGGUGUCCGUCCCGCAUCUAACGCAUUAAGCGCUACGCCUGGGGAGUACGUUCUGCAAGGCUAAAACUCAAAGGAAUUGACGGGGAAGCGCACAAGCGGCGGAGCAUUGAGAUUAAUUUGAUGCAACGCGAAGAACCUUACGAGGGUUUGACAUAUGGGGAAAACUCACAGAGAUGUGAGGUCCUUGUGGGCUCCAUACAGGUGGUGCAUGGCGGUCGUCAGCUCGUGUCCAGAGAUGUUGGGUUAAGUUUCGCAACGAGCGCAAGAGUUGUCCUAUGUGAACAGCAUCUAAAGGCGGGGGGUCAUAGGAGAUCAGCGGGGUCAACUUGGAGGAAGGUGGGGCUGACGUCAAGUCUUCAGGAGUCUUAUGCGCAGGUCAUCAACCAUGUUACAAGUCCCGGUACAAAGGGGUGUGAAAGUGCAAGGUGGAGUGAAUCACAAAAAGCCGGUCUCAGUUCGGAUUGGGGUGUUCAACUAUCUCCCACGAAGUUGGACUCCUUAGUACUUGCGAAUCAACAUCGUUGCGGGCAAUACGUUCGCGGGCCCACUACUCUUCCAAAGAGAUGGUCAUGAAAGUCGGCAACACCUGAAGCCGGUGGCCCAACCCUAGUGGAGGGAGGACGUCGAAGGUGGGGCUGGAUCACCUCCUUUCU
rnacentral:rRNA from 1 species